rnacentral:lncRNA from 1 species
UUUUCCAUCACAGUAAUUGUCAAGGCUUCAGCCGAAAUAGGAUGGCCAGGGCUCAGGAAACUCCCACUCACAAGCAGAGAGGACAACGUAUUAUACAGUGCUCAUCCUGAGACGCCAGCAUCCUGCAGGCACCGGAAUAGUCUUGGAAGACAAAAAUCCUGCUUGCAAGGUUUAUAGUGGCAGCUUGAUCACCAGCAGCAGCUCCCUUUCAACUUCUCAGCAUGGUGCCGCAUAAGACAGCAUGCGGCUAUUUCGGACAAGGACACAAGGACAGUGCCUUCCUUAUGGUUCUGCGUAUCUGGCUCCAUCGCUGGGGUGGCAGGGAGGAGAGCGAGCAGCCAAGUGAAGCAGCGGGAGACGAGAGGGCUGGAGGGCCUGAAAGAAGAGACCUAAGAGAGGACAAGGGGAUAAUGGGUUCCGUAAGUAAGGUCAAGGAUUUUGCAUCAGCUGAAACCGGCUGAAAGGAAAGAUAGAGAUGGAGAGGACGGAGCUGCAGAAGAGAGACUGUGAUGGGAGCAGUGAGGCCUUUGAGGGUUUUGGCCGGGUGGGGGAUGUCCUACUGCUGAUGAAGGGGGGCUGGCCUGGAAAGAGCUGCAGUCGUCCAGUCUAGAGGGCAGGCCAGUCAAGAGCUGGGACCAGGAGCCGAGUCAGAACUGGUGUGAAGAGGUGCCAGGCCCUGCACAAUUUGUUCAGAUAAAGACGGUCGGGGAAGGGAUGGGAUGUGCCGAGAGCAGGAAAAUAAAGGGAUCAACGGUAACCUCAAGGUCCUCGCCAGUCAGGGAAUGGGGAAGACAGACUCAAGAGGAGCAGAAGUAGAGAAGUCGGAAAGGUUGUGAAAAUGAGGUGCCGCUAAAUGUGUUUUCAUAUGUGUUUGGGGGUAUUCUGAAAAAUGUGGGAAUAGGCAGACAGCCGCGAUGAAAUUCAGAAUUUCUCUAUUCGGGAGGAAAGACGAGGACUAAUGGAGCAGACAGAGAUGUAAAUAAAGGUGUCCCAGCACUCUUCCUUGGGAACCACCUGCAGAUGGAAUUCAUAGUUACUCUUGCAUCAGGGAUGCAGGGAG